GUGUUGAAAGUCAGUCAGCGCUGGGAGAGCUGAGGUCCUCUGGAGAGAGGCACAUUUAAGAUUUUAUAUCAAGUGCUGUGUAGAGAGUUUGGAGGGAAGCAAGGAGGAGAGAAGUACUGUAUCAGGGCUCAGCUGUCUUGGGAGAUCCUGAGAGAGAAAAAGACACAAAUUACAGAUAUGUCUGGCAAACCACACAAGAGCAAUGUGUUCUGUCUGUCACACUGUGGUUUUGUUUCUUUGAGGAAGAACUGGCUUCCCAGGCUAAGCAUUAAAUGCCUUUGACUUGGCAUAAUUUCCUCCUUUAGAAGUCUCACUCAGAGGAAGCUGGGCACAGGCAACAAGCAGGGAGCCCUCGGCUUUGACUUUUUCUUUUUUGUCCUCUUAACUCGGCACUUUCCUUUGGGACAGUGUUUCUGGUUUGGUUUUGGUUUCUAACUACAUUUACCUCUUUCUCUCUCUCUCUCUGUGCUCAUGUCUCUCUCUUCUCUCUGUCUUUCUCUGUGUCUGUGUCUGUCUCUCUUCUUUCUGUGUCUGUCUCUGUCUCUGUCUGUGUCACUCUGUCUUGGUCUCUGUCUCUCUGUCUCUGUCUCUGUGUGUGUGUGUGUGUGUGUGUGUAAAAUCUACAAGAGUUGAUUGAUUCUCUCCUUCCACCAUAUGUGUUCCAGAGACUGAACUUAAAUCGUCAGACUUCACAGCAAGCGCCUCUACACACUGAGCCAUGUUAGCUGUCCUGUGGUUUCCUUUAAAAUUCACGCAAAAGUUUAUAGUUCUUGUAAAAUGCUUUUAGUUUAGACACACACAGACGGAGAUUCAGUGUAAUAAACCUGGUGCCUUCACUCUGGUGUUGAUGAUUGGCAUGGUGCCUACUCUCUACAUUUCCUCCUCCUCCUCCUCUUCUUCCUCCUCCUCCUCUUCUUCCUCCUUCCUCCUCUUUCUAUUUUUUCUCCUGCAUAUUUAAAAGCAAAUUCCAUGCACACUGCUCUUCCACACUUUGUGUUUAGUGCAUCUCUGAGAAGGGAUUCUAACCAUUUACUGUUAUCACACAUAAGUGGCAACAGUUCACCCCUAUCCUUUAGUACCUAGCUCAUAUUUGAAGUUUCUGGAAUGUUUAAUAAAUGUCCUUCUUAAAGGUGGGUUUUCUCCAAUUCAGAUGUCCAUACAACAGCCACAUGCUCUCUUGCUAUUUUUCCUUCCAGUUGAUUAAAAACAAAUCCUGGAUUUGAUUGCUGCUUCAUGGUGUCAGCACUGUUUAACAGCCACCUACUUCUGCCCUGAACAUAAGUUGGAAAGAUUUUAUGUUCUGUUUGUUCCAGUUCUUGAAUUGGUGGCUGGUCCUGGUAGCAUCCUGAAUCAUUCGUGGAAAAUAGCAGUUCUUGGAUUCAUGGAAGCUUUUCUUUUAAUAUCCCGGCUCUCUCACACUUCCAGCUGAUGAUGUCAGUGGUGUUGAUUGUUGUCUGGCUGUUUACCUAACUGAGAAAAAUGUUGGCUUUUCUAUCGCAUGGCUGUUUUCUGACUCUGUCAUUCCUUAGGCUUGGAAACUGGCUUUGCAGAAUAACUAAUAAUUUGGAAUGACCGUUCCUUUAUCAAGCAGGGCUACUUGGUUCUAUUCAAGAAAAACAGGUUUAAUACCGAACAUUUUCAUACCAGUCAGUACAAGGAGCUGUGACUCUCGCUUCCUCUAAUGGUGAAGAAUAAAAUAGUUUUCUUUCUCCACUUUACAAAGUAGGUCUAUGAGCAUAGAGGUGACGCUAUGUAUUUAUUUUUAGUUAUGUAUAUGUGUGCAUUUCUGGGAAUGCACCCCAUAUGUAUUAAGGUGCUCAGGGGGGUCUAAGGAGAGCAGCAAAUCUCUCCGAGAGGUGGAGUGACAGCGGUUGCGAGCUGCCAGAUGUGGUGCUGGGAAUUGAACGUGGGUCCCCUGGAAAGCAGGAAGUGCUAUUAACCGCUGAGCCAUCUCUCCAGCCCCAGCGUAUGGGUUUUAUAUACCCAAUAUAUUAUAGUUUGUUGCACCCAUCCCUUCCCCAAGUUCCACUGUCAAGUCAUGUGGUCACCGAGCCUGCUUCCAGUGGGUUUCUGUAUUCUGUAGGUAUUUUCCUUGACUUCUGGAAAAAGAGGUCAUGGUUGUAUGACUUGCCUUUGGUCUGAAACCAGCUAUCGCUGUAGGGAAACAGUUCUUUAUACAGGAAAUUAUUUUUGAAGACAUGAUUUAGGCACUACACAUGUUGCUGCUAUUAUAUUGUUACCUUUUUUUUUUAAGUUGUGCAGUUGGCAUAGGUGAAAAAAUACAUAUCCUUAAAUAUAAGCAUUUUUCAGAGACCACAGCAAUAUUUAAAUUUUUAUGUGUAUGUAUGUUUUGUUCCUAUGUAUGUCUGUGUGCUGCACACAGGUAGUAUUUAUAGAGACCAAAUGAGGGCACUGGAUCCCUGGGAACUCUGGUUAUAGACAAUUGUAAGCUUCCCUGUGGAUGCUGGGAAUAGAACCUGGGACCUCUGGAAGAGCAGCCAGUGCUCUUAACCACUGAGGUACCUCUCCAGCUCCUAUAGUAAUACCUUUAAAUGAAAUUACAUUACAGGGUUUUUACUAACCUGAUUGUUUUUCUUGUUCUUUCUUUACCUGAAAAAAACAGUAUUUACAACUGGCAGUAAAACCAGUAUUACAACAUACAAUAAUUUGCUUUAUUUCAUUAUAUACACAAACUAGUUCAAGCAGACUUGUAAAUAAGACAUCUGGUAUAUGUUCAAAUAUGGUUGUGGCCUAAUUUGUCCUUAUACCUACCAGGAACUUACAGUAAUCAUAAUUUGAAGGUAUCUGGUAUAAUUCAUUUUUUUUUACAUGAUCUUGUUACUCAUUUGGUCAUUGAUUUAUGUCAGUUGAUUAUUUUGGUAGAUUUCUUAGAAUUUUCUAAAAUGUAUAAAAUUUAUGACUCUAAAAUCUUUCACAGUAAUCUCCUCCUAGAAAUCUUGCCUCAAACAUUACUGUUUCUACAUGUUUUUUAUUUAACUCCUUUUGUGUUUCACUUGGAAAAUAUAAAACACUUACAUGCACACACACACACACACACACACACACUAAAUAAAUGUGAUAAAAGAUGCACUUUAUAAUAUGUCACAGUGUUAACACUUUUGUUCCCACCCUCAGUGAACUUUCUCCAUACUCAGCACACACUCUGACACUGAGACAUACCCGCAACCUCAUAACACCAACUUUCAUAUAAACAAAGAGGGAAAUACAAAGUGCUCAAUAACUGUGUAUAGCCUAUACAGUCCAUGAUUGCAUAUGACUUUCGUCCAUUAUAUUGGAUUUCUGUUUACUGUAAGCUAUGAGGGGAUAUUUUGGUGUCAUAUAUUUUCAC
rnacentral:lncRNA from 1 species